GACGAACGCUGGCGGCGUGCCUGAUACAUGCAAGUUGAGCGAUGAAGCUUGGUGCUUGCACCCAUUUGAAGAGCAGCGAACGGGUGAGUAACGCGUGGGUAAUCUGCCUUUGAGCGGGGGACAACAUUUGGAAACGACUGCUAAUACCGCAUAACAACUUUAAACAUAAGUUUUAAGUUUGAAAGAUGCAAUUGCAUCACUCAAAGAUGAUCCCGCGUUGUAUUAGCUAGUUGGUGAGGUAAAGGCUCACCAAGGCGAUGAUACAUAGCCGACCUGAGAGGGUGAUCGACCACAAUGGGACUUAGAAAAGGCCCAAACCCCCACGGGAGGCAGCAGGAGGGGAACUUCGGCCAUGGACGAAAGUCUGACCGAGCAACGCCGCGGGAGUGAAGAAGGUUUUCGGAUCGUAAAACUCUGUUGGUAGAGAAGAAAGUUGGUGAGAGUGGAAAGCUCAUCAAGUGACGGUAACUACCCAGAAAGGGACGGCUAACUACGUG
rnacentral:rRNA from 1 species